CGUCGCACUGUAUGUAGAAGUGCCGCUUGAAAUCCGCGUGUACCAGGACUGGUGCCGAGGGCGUCUGUGAGCGGACCGGCCAUCUCAGCAUAGUUUUUCAUAAAGCGCCGGUACCAGCCCGCAGUUCCCAGGAAACUACGCAAUUCUCGAACAGAUCGCGGCUCGGCAAUGCGCAAAAUGGCCGACACACGAUCCGGAUCCAUCUUCAGCGCUCCUCCUCCCACUAUAAAUCCCAGACGCUCGGCAACCUGUCGCAGAAUCUUC